rnacentral:rRNA from 1 species
AUUGAACGCUGGCGGCAUGCCUUACACAUGCAAGUCGAACGGCAGCAGGGUGGAGCUUGCUUCUUUGCCGGCGCGUGGCGAACGGGUGUGUAAUAUACCGCAACGUGUCGUGUUGCGGGGGGUAACCACCCGAAAAGCUGGCUCUUAUCGCAUAAAUUACGUGCAAGUAAGCUCGGGACUUCUUCAUACGUUUCGCGCUUUUUUAGCGCCAGAUGUCGGAUUAGCUAGUUGGUGAGGUAAAGGCUCACCAAGGCGAAGAUCUGUAGCGGGUCUGAGAGGAUGAUCCGCCACACUGGAACUGAGACACGGCCCAGACUCCUACGGGAGGCAGCAGUGGGGAAUUUUGGACAAUGGGGGCAACCCUGAUCCAGCCAUGCCGCGUGGAUGAAGAAGGCCUUAGGGUUGUAAAGUACUUUUGUUAGGAAAGAAAAGUCAGAUGUGAAUAAUGGCUGGUACUGACGGUACCUAAAGAAUAAGCACCGGCUAACUACGUG